rnacentral:rRNA from 1 species
UACGUAGGGGGCAAGCGUUGUCCGGAUUUAUUGGGCGUAAAGAGCGUGUAGGCGGCCUGAAAGGUCAGCUGUGAAAACUCGAGGCUCAACCUCGAGACGUCGGUUGAAACCAUCUGGCUAGAGUCCGGAAGAGGAGAGUGGAAUUCCUGGUGUAGCGGUGAAAUGCGCAGAUAUCAGGAAGAACACCCGUGGCGAAAGCGGCUCUCUGGAACGGUACUGACGCUGAGACGCGAAAGCGUGGGGAGCGAACAGG